UGCUCUUAAAGACCAGAAAGAUAUCUAAGCAGGUGACUGACUCUCUUAUUGGUACAGUGGCUGGCAUUCAUUAUGCUACUGAGAAUGAAAUAAAAACCCUUUUGUGUUACUCAUGUGCUACCUUUUGCAGACCAAAGGAGCAGUCACUUAAUGGCUAGAGCUGGCAAAUUAAUAAUAAUGGACCAGACUCUCAUCCCAUGCAAUCAAAUAGAUGCUAUUCUCUACUAAGUCAUGUAGCAUAAGAGUCUCACCUAAUAACAGUAAUAAAUAAUGGGGUAAUUUCCAUGCCAGCUGCUUCCGUCCUUCUAACCAGGGUUUUACAUCAUUGCAGUUCUACCUACAGGAAACAAUGACAUUCUCAGACCUAUUUUAAAAGUCUGCACCUUUCGUUUUUUUAUUGCUACAAUUUUUAUGGGUUGUCUCAGUCAAGGGUUGAAUUUUUAGGUCCCCAAGAGAGGGAAAUGUUAUCAAAACAAUAUUGUGAGUGGAACUUGAUGUGACAACUAUGGAAAAGGAAUUCAGUACAAAUGUACCUGUUAUUAGGAUUUGUUGGGCAUUUUGCAUACAACUCUUUUUCAUGGCAAUUUAUAUGAUGUUUGUGGAAGAAUAUGUACUUUGUCAAUAAUGUUUGUUUUGCUAGUGGUUUGGAUCUGCAAUUGGUUGUGUGGAUUGGCUAACAUUGUGAAAUUUGGUGGAGUAAACUUACCUGGGGUUUUGAACCCAAGAGUGUGUAAUAAUUUUAUAAAUGUAAUAUUACAUAUAUCAAAUGUUUUUGAUAUCUAAUAUUUUAGUAUCAAAAUAUUACAUUUUAAUGUUUGGAGAUAGCUCAGAUGAAAAGUACAGUAGAGUUAAUGUGUGGAUGUAUAAAUUCCCUAUUUUUUUCCUUUGGAUUUCAUCUCUGUGUCUUCUUGGACAAUGCUUUUGCUGUUUAUCUGUUGUUUUACCACCAUGCUAGUGCUCUAGAAGUUAAUGUGCCUUAACCUUCACCUCCUUGGAAUUCCUAGGCACUUGGUUUAUACUUUAAUUCUAACAUGUCACUGCUUGGUUGCUUCUGGGACUCACUAUAUACCUUUUUGUUCUGCCUAUGUGGCUGCAAGCCUCUUUUCUACCUCAUGAUGUAGGUUAUUAUUAUUCUCAAUGGACGCAUAUGGAAACUGAAGCACAGAGAAAUCUGUGUACCUAGGGUUGCAGAGCUGGUAGGUACAGAGCCAAGAGUGGAACCCAGGCAGUCUGGCCCAGAGUCCAUAAUCUUAACCACAUUCUGCUGCCUCUCCUGUGAACAGCUAGCACAGUGCCUUAGACAUGGUUUGUGGAAUAACUUUUUUUUUUUUUUUUUUUGCAGACACAGUGUGCACACAUAAGAUGGUACUAUGAACAAAAAAUGUUUCUUUGGAAAUGAAGCAGAUGAGUUCCAGGAUGCUUUUCAAGUUCUGCAUCUGUAAAGGUCCUUUAGACCAUUUUGGUCCUUCUGUCACAGCAAUGCUGCUCUGGAUGUCUGGAUCUCUGUAAGAGAAAAAAAGUUAUUUUGAGCUCUGUCAUCUAAAGCAAGGACAGCAAAUGCAUGACCCAGGACAAGCCUAGGACAAAUACGAGUCGUCAAUCACACUAUGUUUUCCUGCUGAUCCUGGAUUGGGCCUCAGAAUAAUUCUCAGUACCAUGUUCCAGGUAGCUUCGACCAAUAGGGCUGUGCUCUGGCCCAAGUCAUUCUGCUGGCAAGUCUGAUUAGAGUGAAAUAUAUUACAGAAGAAAGAAGGUGUUAAUUUCCAAUGUGGUUGCUCCUCUGAAGCGAUUACAAGAAAGAAGGAAAAGGAGAACAUGAUGUAAAGGGAAGAGAUAAUAGUUAUGGCGUCAUGCUUAAGAAUGUGUACUGUUAAACUGAUAAAAAUUUUAAAAGUCAUUCAUUAAGAGUGUACUGGGUAUCUGCCGUAUCAGGCACUGCUUUCUAUGUGCUGGGGACAAAAAGAUGACUAAUAUGCAGUAGCAAAAACCUUCCCCAAUCUAGUCGGGGAGCCUUUAAAAAUAAAAAUUUGCAUUACCAGAUGAUAUAUCCUAUCUGAGCAGGAUGUGUUUUUGAGGACUUCAUGGAAUGGGAUGUGAAAGUGUGACCAACCGUUGCACUGAAGAAGCAGGUUUGGGGAAUAGGAUAUGAACUAUUAGAUUAUCUGAAGAAGACGAGCCUUCAUUUCUAAAGGCUAAGCUUUAUCCCCAGCAAAGAUGAAGGAGUUCUUUUGUGUUCCAAAUAUUUAAACUCUACAGCACUUGCCCAUAAAGUUUUAAUUCCCAUAGUAAGAGAAAACUGACUGUUGGACGGUGGCAUAGUGGUAGCAGAAGAGGCACCAGGACUGAGUGUCCCCUUAACUGUAGAAGCUGGUGCUGAGCAGGAUGGAAAGGACAGAAUGUCAGAUGGAUGAUACUUGCACUGAUGGCUGUGGAGGAUGACCGUAAUAGUGGCAUUCUGGAGUGGGAGUGAAUUUCCCUGGGGCCAAGAUGACAUGGAGAAAUGAGGCCAGCAGAGGACCGGCAGGCCACUCUG